rnacentral:rRNA from 1 species
GACGAACGCUGGCGGCGUGCCUAACACAUGCAAGUCGAACGGAAAGGCCCUGCUUUUGUGGGGUGCUCGAGUGGCGAACGGGUGAGUAACACGUGAGUAACCUGCCCUUGUCUUUGGGAUAACUUCAGGAAACUGGGGCUAAUACCGGAUAGGAGCUCCUGCUGCGUGGUGGGGGUUGGAAAGUUUCGGCGGUUGGGGCUGGACUCGCGGCUUAUCCGCUUGUUGGUGGGGUAGUGGCUUACCAAGGCUUUGACGGGUAGCCGGCCUGAGAGGGUGAACGGCCACAUUGGGACUGAGAGACGGCCCAGAAUCCUACGGGAGGCAGCAGUGGAGAGUAUUGCACAAUGGGCGGAAGCCUGAUGCAGCAACGCCGCGUGCGGGAUGACGGCCUUCGGGUUGUAAACCGCUUUCGCAUGUGACGAAGCGUGAGUGACGGUAAUGGGUAAAGAAGCACCGGCUAACUACGUG